rnacentral:lncRNA from 1 species
ACACCCAGCAAACGCCGGGCACGACUCUCUUUUCAUUGUUUGCUUUCCAGAACUAUCAUUGGAACCAAGAAGGUUCCAAUCGUAGUAGACUUAGCUGUCACCAGAAUGGAGUUCUGGGUUCUAACUCCAUAGCAGGCUCUAGGUAGGAUUGGGAUGGCGGGAAGGGAGGAAGGGACAUUUAGUAUCCACUCAUCCUACUCAUAGUCGGACCAUUUUGAACCAGUUUCUAGAACUCUCUAACUAUUAUCUUAACUGACUGAUUACUAAAAGCUACUGCUCUAUAUGAGAUGGCCAGCUUCGUUUUUCUCCCGUCUUCAUUUUUCUCCCAGCUUCGUUUUUCUCCCUUCUAGAACAACAGGAAUCACACCACAGCCAGAGAAUGCUUUCAGAAAUGCACACUCUUAAUAGCUAAGCUGGGGACUUUUUGAGGUCAGGGAACAAGAACAAUGGCAGCCUGGCUGGCACAGGAUGAUGUGUCUCUUUUGCUAAAGCUCAGCUGGUAAUCAAAAUGGAGAUUAAUUUCUUGUACCCAUUUUUGCCCUCAGCUUCCUGAUAUAAUUUAAUAAGAAAUUGUUAAUGAGUAGAUAGAUGUGCACCCUGGUGAUUUAAAGUAGAAAUGACAGUUCUUUAUAUAAAAGUUUAGGUUUGUGAUUCUUUUAAGAUUUUUAUAGGAUUACCUUUUAAGAUAAAUAAUAACAGAGUUGGCCAUUUCUAUGUAACUGCAAAUUGCAGCCUGCCAGUAAGAGAAACUGGCUGAUAAACUUACUCUGCUUGCUUACACUUUGUUAAUUUAUAACAAGUUGCUGCGUUACAAAUGUAUGUGGGUUCUUGGGAGUGAUUUGUUUUUUCUUUACCUCUGAUAUGUAAAGUGUUUUUCAUGUAAAGGAAUUGGGGAACAAACUUUUUUUAAAAAAAGUAAUCAUUCACUGUCAGAAAAAUAGAAUGUAGUCACAUUGUAAUUUUUAUACUGCUUGAAAGAUUUUGCUGGGAUAUAUAAGCUGUGGGAGGAAAAAAUAAAGUUAUUGGAGCUUGUUGAAGCUUGGUUCAUCUACCUAGUGUGUGUGUGUGUGAGAGAGAGAGAGAGAGAGAGAGAGAGAGAGAGAGAGAGAGAGAGAGAUUCCUUCUCCCCCUUUUUGCAAGGAACCUUUCACUGCCCCCCCUCCUCCCAGGAGUAUUUUGCCAGCCCAGUGAAUCAAGUUUUUUCCCGUCAGAGAAAAGCCUUCUGAGUGAUCAAUUGCUGAUGCUACACCCUGCCUCAGUUUACCCUGGACAUUGAAGCUGGUCUUUGACAUACAUCCUCUUGAUCCAAAGUAAAAUUUGCCUGUCCAGACACUCCAGUUGGAUUAAUAAUAUCUUCCUUUUUAAACCCAAACUUACUUCUAACAAUUUGGGGGAUCAGUUGGACACCUAUCUCUCCUAACGGAAUAACUCAGAACUCCUACCAGAGGAGAUGCUUGCCACCAACUCUUUUUCAGGGAUCCUAGGGUGUUGGGUCUCUGGCAUUUUCCAGAUCAGCCAAAGAAGAAUUCAAGUCUGAAAAAGUCUGGACAACACAGGGAACAGAGGUCCAAGGAAAUAACCAUGGAGACCAGGAAUACUCUGUGCACCCCAAAGAUCAGUUGUACCUCACCCAAUCAUCAUCAGAGAAGCUUCUUGCAGUAUAUGAAAGUUAACACAGAGACCCAUAACUGGACAACAUGCAAGUGAGUGAGAGACGUUGAAAUACUCAGUCCUAAAUGAGAUGACUUCAUCAAACCCCUCCACUCAGGGAUCAGGACGCUAUGCAGAAGAGGAGGCAGGAAGACUGCAAGAGUCAGAGGGAAUGGAUGACACCAAGGAAAUAGUGACUUCCCCCAUUAUUUAAUGGCUCUACUUGGAAUUAUUCCAUUUAUGUAUAUAUUUUAAGAUGCUUCUACAGUAGUAGGUUUCC